CAGUAGCCGCGGGAAUACGAAGGGGGCUAGCGUUGUUCGGAAUUACUGGGCGUAAAGCGCACGUAGGCGGAUAUUUAAGUCAGGGGUGAAAUCCCGCAGCUCAACUGCGGAACUGCCUUUGAUACUGGGUAUCUUGAGUAUGGAAGAGGUUAGUGGAAUUUCCUGUGUAGAGGUGAAAUUCGUAGAUAUUCGGAAGAACACCAGUGGCGAAGGCGACAUACUGGAUCAUUACUGACGCUGAGGCUCGAAAGCGUGGGGAGCAAACAGGAUUAGAUACCCCCGUAGUCCCUGUCUCUUAUAC
rnacentral:rRNA from 1 species